rnacentral:tRNA from 1 species
GGUAGAGUGGCCGAGUGUUGAUGGCGGUAGCCUGUAAAUCUACUUACAGAGGUUUAAAUCCUCUCUCUGUCA